AUUAAAAGGAGAGAGAGCAGAGCAAGCCAUUGCCAAGACUUCACACAUCUCCAUUCUUCCCCAAAUAGCCAAACCUGCAGCUUGUCUUCCUCCCACUUUCUUCAUCUUUCUAUCUGCAACCAACAAAGAUCCAAGAACAAUAAGUAGAGAUGGUGACCUGAGAAAUCAUAGUAGAUCAAAGGAGGAAGGCUAGAGCAAGAAAUUAGCCUACUGGACUGGGAUCUGGAAGUAGGAGCAGCACUAGUAGGAACAGCAGAGAAGGCAAAAGAAGAAAGGAAGCAAACAAGACCCGGAGAAGGAAGCGCCACAGAAGCAAUUUGAGUUCGGAUCUGAGUACGAGAACUCAGGCAAGCUCUCCUUGAUCAUGUUGAGUAGAACUAUUUUUCAAAAACACUAUUCUCCGCUAUCUUAUCAUCAACUUGCAUAAAAUGUUUUGAGAUAAA